rnacentral:rRNA from 1 species
AACGAACGCUGGCGGCAGGCUUAACACAUGCAAGUCGAACGCAUCCUUCGGGGUGAGUGGCAGACGGGUGAGUAACGCGUGGGAACGUGCCCUUCAGUUCGGGAUAACCCAGGGAAACUUGGGCUAAUACCGGAUACGUGCGAGAGCAGAAAGAUUUAUCGCUGAAGGAUCGGCCCGCGUCUGAUUAGCUAGUUGGUGGGGUAAUGGCCCACCAAGGCGACGAUCAGUAGCUGGUCUGAGAAGAUGAUCAGCCACAUUGGGACUGAGACACGGCCCAAACUCCUACGAGAGGCAGCAGUGGGGAAUAUUGGACAAUGGGCGCAAGCCUGAUCCAGCCAUGCCGCGUGAGUGAUGAAGGCCUUAGGGUUGUAAAGCUCUUUCGUCCGGGACGAUAAUGACGGUACCGGAAGAAGAAGCCCCGGCUAACUUCGUGCCAGCCGCCGCCGUAAAAC